rnacentral:lncRNA from 1 species
UUGCUCGCCCAGGUUAUCUACCUGAACCUCAGUAGGAAGGAUCGGCACUAAGGUCUCCCCGGUCUCAUUGUUAACCAGCCCCGUCUGGGUAGGUAACACUUGAGUGGGAUUUGUCCCAUCAAUCCCAACUGGUCCAGAUGCACCAGCCGCUUCCUUGCCCUUUCGAGACUUAGACUUCCUUGUUCCAUUGGGAGUUGAAACAUAAACAAGUUAGUUCCAUGAACUUAACAUAAACCUCAAUCAACACACAAGGUAAAGCAAUUCAACAAUUAUUACCCAACCUUACCGUGAGACUCAAAGCCAAUGUGUGGUGAACACAUAACCCACCCAAAUCCUAGAAUCAAGCAUGCUCUGAUACCAACUUGUAAUGACCCGAUCCCGGUCCUUAGACCCAAGCUGAUCUGCGGCCAUUCAUCCUACUUAUGUCUAUGUGAUUCCGGUUUUAAGUCAAUAGUUUCUAAGU